UACGACUACAUAUCAGGCAUAUCAAUAAGCGGAGGAAAAGAAACUAACAAGGAUUCCCUAGUAACGGCGAGUGAAGCGGGAAGAGCUCAAAUUUGAAAUCUUCAAGGUUCUACCUUGACGAAUUGUAGUUUAAAGAAGUGUUUUCUGAUAGAGGAGUAGCAAAAGUUCCUUGGAAUGGGACAUCAUAGAGGGUGAGAAUCCCGUAUUUGGUUAUUCUUUCUAGCUUUGUGAUACACUUUCAAAGAGUCGGAUUGUUUGGGAAUGCAGUCCAAAAUGGGUGGUAAAUUUCAUCUAAAGCUAAAUAUUGGCGAGAGACCGAUAGCGAACAAGUACCGUGAGGGAAAGAUGAAAAGAACUUUGAAAAGAGAGUUAAACAGUACGUGAAAUUGUCAAAAGGGAAGCGUUUGACACCAGUGUUGUUUAGUUGAAAAUCAAUUCAAUAGUUUUUGAUUCUAAGUAGUAUUGACUUCAUCAGCUUGCUGCUUUCUUCUCAGAAAUUAUUGAAUGCACUUUUCAGUUAACAAGUCAACAUCAAUUUCCUUUGUUGUAAAAGGGUAAGAGGAAGGUGGCUUGCGCUUCGGCUCAAGUGUUUAUAGCCUUAUACCUCUACAAUCGGAGAGAUUGAGGUCUGCAGCGUAGAUCCUUCAGGGCUAGAUACACUUGUGCUAAGUUAUAGCUUUUCAUAGACAACUUGUUGACUAUGUUUAGUCAUGUAGCUUACCCGCUUGUGCUAUUUUACCUACGCUUAGGAUGUUGAUCUACAGAGCGAGAGU
rnacentral:rRNA from 1 species